ACCGGAAGGAGCCACGGCUGCUGCGGGAAGUGGCCGGUUCAGGAGGCGGACACCCCGAGGGCAGCGCUGCGGGGCCGUUUCCCGGCCCUCCUGACGCGACACUGCCCCUCUCCGAGGGCUGAGAAGGAAAAGAGGAGCUUGCGGAGGUGUUACCUCAUUUUGAAAGUCUUGGGAAACAGGAAAAAAUUCCUAACAAAAUGUCAGCUUUUCGAAAUCAUUGUCCACAUUUGGAUUCAGUUGGUGAAAUAACCAAAGAAGAUUUGAUACAAAAAUCUCAUGGUACUUGUCAGGAUUGUAAAGUCCGAGGACCAAAUCUUUGGGCAUGCUUGGAGAUGUUCAUAUGUUGGCUGUGGUGAAUCACAAGUAGAUCACAGCACCAUACAUUCUCAGGAGACAAAGCAUUAUCUAACUGUGAACCUUACCACUCUUCGAGUAUGGUGUUAUGCUUGCAGCAAAGAAGUAUUUUUGGAUAGGAAAUUAGGAACUCAGCCUUCAUU
rnacentral:sRNA from 1 species